CAGGCCUAACACAUGCGAGUCGAACGCUAAGGCCCGCUUGUGGGUACAUGAGUAGCGAACGGGUGAGUAACACGUGAUCAACCUGCCUUUGACUCUGGAAUAACAGCUGGAUACAGCUGUUAAUACCGGAUAUGACCUCCGACGACAUCGUCUGGAGGUGGAAAGCUCACGGCGCUACAAGGAUGGGCUCGCGGCUACUCAGCCUAGUUGGUGAGGUUACGGCCCACCAAGGCUUCGACGGGUAGCCGGCCUGAGAGGACGACUGGCCACACUGGGACUAAGAUACGGCCCAGACUCCUACGGGAGGCACCAGUGGGAAUAUUGCACAAUGGGCGCAAGCCUGACGCAGCAACGCCGCGUGCGGGACCACGGCCUUCGGGUUGUAAACCUCUUUCAUCCACGACGAA
rnacentral:rRNA from 1 species